rnacentral:rRNA from 1 species
GAUGAACGCUGGCGGCGUGCCUAAUACAUGCAAGUCGAGCGAACAGACGAGGAGCUUGCUCCUCUGACGUUAGCGGCGGACGGGUGAGUAACACGUGGAUAACCUACCUAUAAGACUGGGAUAACUUCGGGAAACCGGAGCUAAUACCGGAUAAUAUAUUGAACCGCAUGGUUCAAUAGUGAAAGACGGUUUUGCUGUCACUUAUAGAUGGAUCCGCGCCGCAUUAGCUAGUUGGUAAGGUAACGGCUUACCAAGGCAACGAUGCGUAGCCGACCUGAGAGGGUGAUCAGCCACACUGGAACUGAGACACGGUCCAGACUCCUACGGGAGGCAGCAGUAGGGAAUCUUGCGCAAUGGGCGAAAGCUUGACGGAGCAACGCCGCGUGAGUGAUGAAGGUCUUCGGAUCGUAAAGCUCUGUUAUUAGGGAAGAACAAAUGUGUAAGUAACUAUGCACGUCUUGACGGUACCUAAUCAGAAAGCCACGGCUAACUACGUG